AUUGAUUAUGUCCAGACUAUAAACAAAUGGACUGAACUGCAGCUUUAUAUCAGAAGGGGCUGAAAACGAGCUGAUAAAAUCAAAGGUAAAUGAUCAGGACGUGCUGCACUAGUAAAAGUGAGGAGGCUGACAUCAUGAGCGGAUUUAUUUAAGCCCUGCUCUAUAAACAAGCCUCAUCACGACGUUCUCGUAAACGCCUCAAACAGCUACGCACCUGCCGACAUCCAUCCGACUAAUUAACGGGCUGUAACAACAAUAGAUGCGAGGCUGGGCUGAACGGGAUGUACCGAGGCUGUCCGCCCACACACGCACGCACGCACACGCACACACAGUGGCAGGAGUUAUACUGUAGAGGAUCUUUAACGUUUAACGUUAAUGAGCGCGGAUGCUAAGCCACAGACCGACCGUUGCUACGUUACCGACACACACCUGUUACCAAACACACCGCCGCCAUGUAAGCUAGUUCUGCGAGCUAAUAACCUCCACCACUAACUAGUAACAGUUAACACUGAAACUAGCCCGCUCAUUUACCCGUUAACUGGUUAAUUAUCCUGAAGAGCAGUCAUUAGUUCGUGCCGAGCCGAGUCGGACCAGACGCUACUCACCGUGUUUUGUUAGCUCCGGAAUCUGCUCAGGUUACCGGGUUAAUCCAGCCGCCUGUGACCGUUUCAACGUCAAAGACAGCCGUUAAGAUCGAUGUGGUCGCGAGGAUCCUCUCUCACUGACUGAGCUCGCAGCCAGCAGCACGCGGACAGUCCGGGGCGGAGCUACGUCAGCGUAAACAACAGGUCACGAGAUCAGCCGCCAUAUUCUCAACAGCUUUAUUUUUCUACUGAGAAACUUCUGAAUUUAUUUCCUGAGCGUUAAACUGUCUCGCACGUCGUUGUGGAGGAAUCGUUGCUUCAUUGAGACGGACAAUCGUUCAUGGACUCUGACUGGAUCCCUGCAGCACCGAUUCUUUCCUUUGUCAUCUUUCUCAUCUGUUUGCUGCUGUGCUUGAGAUCAUUGUCAUGUUGCGUGACUUAAUUUGAUCUGAGCUUUAGCUGUGGGACAGAUGGCCUCACAUUUGACUCCAGAGUACUUUGGUAUACAAGAGUUCAUGCUCAAUAACUGCAAGGUGCCCAAAUCAUCAACCGUGCAUACAGUUGGUGUGAGGUGUUUGUACUGAUGUGUUGUGUUUGGUUUACUCCACUCCUUGUUCUGUGCAUUAUAUACAAACAUCUGCAUUUUGCUCUCAUCUGUCUGAAGGACAUUGUUCCAGAAGUCUUGUGGUUUGUUAAGAUGCAGUAAAUCUAAGUCGUGCUGCAUGUUCUUUUUAGAGAGACAAAACUUUCUUCUGCAAAUCUGCUAAAUAAGCUGUACUUGUUUAGUCUUUUAAUAUUCAGUCUUUCAGUGGUCCUGUCCUGACCUUAAACAUUUAAAUGCAGCCUGUAGUUUCUGGAUUGGAGCUGCUGGGAUCUUUUAUUUCUCUGAGCAUUGUAUGGUCUGACCUUGAGGGGAAUUUGGUAGAUUGUGGCACUGUGUUCACACACUGAAUGCUCUUGAACAGCAACCUACCAAAACUUGUUUAAUUCAUAGAGGUGCUCCCAAAUCCUGAUAAUCGGUUAACCAAACCAACUGACCUGCUUAACUUUUAUGGAAGCAUUAAGGGACUACUACAUUUUUUACACACCUCUUGAGGAGUAAACAAUGACACAGUGUAAUAUAUCAUGUGUUGUUCAUUUAAGGUUGGAUUUACCUCAUUUCAAGUCCUGAAAUAGACACAAUGCUUUUAUUAUGUCCUGAUAUAUUAAAUGUUAUUACUCAAA